rnacentral:rRNA from 1 species
UACGUAGGGGCCUAGCGUUGUCCGGAUUUACUGGGCGUAAAGGGCGCGUAGGCGGCCUGUGCAAGUCAGUUGUGAAAUCUCCGGGCUUAACUCGGAACGGUCAACUGAUACUGCUCGGCUAGAGUGCGGAAGGGGCAACUGGAAUUCUUGGUGUAGCGGUGAAAUGCGUAGAUAUCAAGAGGAACACCUGCGGCGAAGGCGGGUUGCUGGGCCGACACUGACGCUGAAGUGCGAAAGCUAGGGGAGCGAACGGG